rnacentral:tRNA from 1 species
GGCGGGGGGAACUGCGGCUCAGUGGUAGAACAUUUGUUUCGUAUUCUACGCAGUGGCGUAGGAGGUUAAGAACUCGUGUAUCUAAUCUGGAGGAACUGGGUUUGAUUCCCCGCUCUGCCG